UACGUAUGGAGCAAGCGUUAUCCGGAUUUACUGGGUGUAAAGGGAGCGUAGGCGGCCUUAAAAGUCUGAUGUGAAAACCCGCGGCUCAACCGCGGGCCUGCAUUGGAAACUUUAGGGCUGGAGUGCCGGAGGGGCAAGUGGAAUUCCCGGUGUAGCGGUGAAAUGCAUAGAUAUCGGGAGGAACACCAGUGGCGAAGGCGGCUUGCUGGACGGUAACUGACGCUGAGACUCGAAAGCGUGGGGAG
rnacentral:rRNA from 1 species